GAUGAACGCUGGCGGCGUGCCUAAUACAUGCAAGUCGAGCGAACGGACGAGAAGCUUGCUUCUCUGAUGUUAGCGGCGGACGGGUGAGUAACACGUGGAUAACCUACCUAUAAGACUGGGAUAACUUCGGGAAACCGGAGCUAAUACCGGAUAAUAUUUUGAACCGCAUGGUUCAAAAGUGAAAGACGGUCUUGCUGUCACUUAUAGAUGGAUCCGCGCUGCAUUAGCUAGUUGGUAAGGUAACGGCUUACCAAGGCAACGAUGCAUAGCCGACCUGAGAGGUGGAUCGGCCACACUGGAACUGAGACACGGUCCAGACUCCGACGGGAGGCAGCAGUAGGGAAUCUUCCGCAAUGGGCGAAAGCCUGACGGAGCAACGCCGCGGGAGUGAUGAAGGUCUUCGGAUCGUAAAACUCUGUUAUUAGGGAAGAACAUAUGUGUAAGUAACUGUGCACAUCUUGACGGUACCUAAUCAGAAAGCCACGGCUAACUACGUG
rnacentral:rRNA from 1 species